rnacentral:rRNA from 1 species
CUUUCGGGAAUGGAAAUGAAAUGAAAGUGGCGAACGGGUGAGUAACACGUGAGCAACCUACCUUACACAGGGGGAUAGCCGUUGGAAACGACGAUUAAUACCGCAUGAGACCACAGAAUCGCAUGAUAUAGAGGUCAAAGAUUUAUCGGUGUAAGAAGGGCUCGCGUCUGAUUAGCUAGUUGGAAGGGUAAAGGCCUACCAAGGCGACGAUCAGUAGCCGGUCUGAGAGGAUGAACGGCCACAUUGGAACUGAGACACGGUCCAAACUCCUACGGGAGGCAGCAGUGGGGAAUAUUGCACAAUGGGGGGAACCCUGAUGCAGCGACGCCGCGUGAGCGAAGAAGGUUUUCGAAUCGUAAAGCUCUGUCCUAUGAGAAGAUAAUGACGGUAUCAUAGGAGGACGCCCCGGCUAAAUACGUGCCAGCAGCCGCGGUAAUACGUAUGGGGCGAGCGUUGUCCGGAAUUAUUGGGCGUAAAGGGUACGUAGGCGGUUUUUUAAGUCAGGUGUGAAAGCGUGAGGCUUAACCUCAUUAAGCACUUGAAACUGGAAGACUUGAGUGAAGGAGAGGAAAGUGGAAUUCCUAGUGUAGCGGUGAAAUGCGUAGAUAUUAGGAGGAAUACCGGUGGCGAAGGCGACU